UGGAGCUGCGCUUCUACACUACCUUUUACGGUAGCAAUUUAACUCCGUGGUGGAACAAUAAGGCAGUAUGACGUCUCUUUCCUUCCACCGCUGAUUCUGACCUUUGAACUUCCUGGAGAUUAGUCAGCAUUUUCUGCAUCCAGUCAAAGUCUACAUUGAAAAUAAACCUACAAGAUCAGAGAAAAGCAUCUGCAAACUCCAAGGAAAACACUACGACAAUGGAUUAGGCUAACGUCCCUGAGUGAUCAGCUCACAGAUCUCUACCAGGCCACUGGGGGCGCUGUGGUGCUCUUCUCCUGGAUCCAGUUUCUGAGAGAGGAAGCCCUGAAGCAGCUGGACAUCCACAAUCUGCUGGAGCUUCCUUCUGACCAGAACCAUUCUUCCUCAGCUGCAGACAGAUCUGAACUUCCUGGGUCUGUUCCGGCCGGACAGGAAGUCGUCCCUCCAAACGAAGACCAAAGUGACUCUGGUCUCUCUUUGACUGCGUCUCAGAUUCUCCUGUCCCAGAUUUUGAUCCAUGAUGCAGAGCAGAAACAAAAGGUGUUU